UGCAACUAGCGCAGCGUGUCCUGGCACAACCACGUAGACCAACUCGGCACGACCGGACAGUGAAAUCUUUUAACACGUUGUUGUUUGGAGGGAGUGGCAAACGUGCCUUGCAGCAGUGUGUGUUCUAAGGACAACACUGCAACAGCACCGACAGGUCGUGAAACGCGCUCGAUCAGCUCCAUCUCAGUGGGCAUGUACCCCAUGGUUCUCAUCAGAUUGCCCAGGUCCUUGCAGCUGAUCAGCCCAUCCUUGUCCUUAUCGAAUUCCUGAAAAGCCUCUCGCAACUCUACGGGACGGGCCAGUUAAGGAGAGAUCCCAGCGACCAGGUGCAGGGAGUUAACUGUGAAGACCAACACACCGGCUGUAAUUGCUCAAUCACAUGCGGAGUGACAAGGAAAACCAGCAGACCCUGAGACUCCAGGACCAGCCCAGUUUGGAAUUCCCUCUUUGAGAACGGCCAGCAGGUGCCCUCCUCUGGCCCAUUGGAACCCUUCCAUCCCUGGGCCACACUAAGGCCACCCGUGCAUUAGCCUGUCAGACUGCUGGCCACGGACAGCACUGGCACCGUCUAAAUGCUACAACAGAGAUAGAUAAGAAUAAGAAUAAGAAUGACUAUUAUUAUUAUUAUUAUUAGAAUUAUUACUAUAGUAUUAUUAUUAUUAUUACACACGCAGGGACGUGCGCACACAAAGACAUACACAUGCACGCACGCACAUAUGCACGCUCAGGCAUGCACGCACACACGCAGGCACACAACACACACACACUCAGGCACAAAAAGCUGUAUUUUGCCUUAAAUAGCUUCUUGAUUAAUCAGAGAUCUGUGUUACCACCAUGGUUACCACGCAUUUUGCACUACAGCGCCAUCUGCUGGCCCAGCCCCACAGGUCCCCAAUGUAAAAUUGCCACUGCCUUCUUAUAAUUGAUCUGUGCAAAGCUUAAAAUGAUCAGAAUUACAUAAGCAAUGACCUUUUUUACAAACGUUUUUUGUACUUCUGUACAUUUCUUCACAGAAUGUAGACAUGCUGCUGUCUCUGGACCAGUGGUAUUCACCUCCCCUUGGAGAGACACAGGGGGCUGCUGGGUUUGUUUCCGCCCUAAAACCAGAAACUAAUUCAGAAACAAGAGACCGGGCGAGUCAGCCAUUUAACCAUCUGCAUUAGUUAAUGAGCUGAGUGCUCACUGAGCGAAUAAUCCUGCUCUAGAACGUAUGAAUAGGACGCUUGGGCUUUCUGUCGUCUGUUAUCUGUCGGUGCUUUGAACUGGCUUGAUUGGCCACCUACAAAUGGAGCCCCACCCACACCUGACUGUAAUUUUUCAGAAGUUGCUGCCUA